AUCCUGGCUCAGGAUGAACGCUAGCGACAGGCUUAACACAUGCAAGUCGAGGGGCAGCGAGGGCGUAGCAAUACGCCUGUCGGCGACCGGCGCACUGGUGAGUAACACGUAUGCGACCUGCCCCCUACAGGGGUAUAACCCGUAGAAAUGCGGACUAAUCCCCCCAUAGUCCUGGGUGCUGCAUGGCAUUCAGGGGAAAGGCCAGCCGGUAGGGGAUGGGCAUGCGGCGCAUUAGCUAGUUGGCGGGGCAACGGCCCACCAAGGCGACGAUGCGUAGGGGGUUCUGAGAGGAAGGUCCCCCACACUGGUACUGAGACACGGACCAGACUCCUACGGGAGGCAGCAGUGAGGAAUAUUGGUCAAUGGCCGAGAGGCUGAACCAGCCAAGUAGCGUGCAGGACGACGGCCCUACGGGUUGUAAACUGCUUUUGCGGGAGGAUAAAGUGCGCCACGCGUGGCGCUUUGCAGGUAUCCCGUGAAUAAGGACCGGCUAAUUCCGUG
rnacentral:rRNA from 1 species